GUGAAGCGGUAACAGCUCAAAUUUGAAAUCUGGCCUCACGGUCCGAGUUGUAAUUUGUAGAGGAUGCUUCGAGCAUGGUCUGGCCUAAGUUCCUUGGAACAGGACGUCAUAGAGGGUGAGAAUCCCGUAUGCGGCCAGGUGCCUACGCUCAUGUGAAGCUCCUUCGACGAGUCGAGUUGUUUGGGAAUGCAGCUCAAAAUGGGUGGUAAAUUUCAUCUAAAGCUAAAUAUUGGCCAGAGACCGAUAGCGCACAAGUAGAGUGAUCGAAAGAUGAAAAGCACUUUGGAAAGAGAGUUAAACAGUACGUGAAAUUGUUGAAAGGGAAGCGCUUGCAACCAGACUUGCGCGCGGCCGAUCAUCCGGUGUUCUCACCGGUGCACUCGGCCGUGCUCAGGCCAGCAUCGGUUUUGGCGGCUGGAUAAAGGCCCUAGGAAUGUAGCUCCUCUCGGGGAGUGUUAUAGCCUAGGGUGCAAUGCAGCCUGCUGGGACCGAGGACCGCGCUUCGGCUAGGAUGCUGGCGUAAUGGUUGUAAGCGGCCCGUCUUGAAACACGGACCAAGGAGUCUAACAUCUAUGCGAGUGUUUGGGUGUCAAACCCAUACGCGUAAUGAAAGUGAACGGAGGUGAGAACCCUUAAGGGUGCAUCAUCGACCGGUCCUGAAGUUUACGGAAGGAUCUGAGUAAGAGCAUAGCUGUUGGGACCCGAAAGAUGGUGAACUAUGCCUGAAUAGGGUGAAGCCAGAGGAAACUCUGGUGGAGGCUCGCAGCGGUUCUGACGUGCAAAUCGAUCGUCAAAUUUGGG
rnacentral:rRNA from 1 species